rnacentral:rRNA from 1 species
CCUACGGGUGGCACCAGUAGGGAAUCUUCGGCGAUGGACGAAAGUCUGACCGAGCAACGCCGCGUGAGUGAUGAAGGUUUUCGGAUCGUAAAACUCUGUUGUUAGGGAAGAACAAGUACCGUUCGAAUAGGGCGGCACCUUGACGGUACCUAACCAGAAAGCCACGGCUAACUACGUGCCAGCAGCCGCGGUAAUACGUAGGUGGCAAGCGUUGUCCGGAAUUAUUGGGCGUAAAGCGCGCGCAGGCGGUUUCUUAAGUCUGAUGUGAAAGCCCCCGGCUCAACCGGGGAGGGUCAUUGGAAACUGGGGAACUUGAGUGCAGAAGAGGAGAGUGGAAUUCCACGUGUAGCGGUGAAAUGCGUAGAGAUGUGGAGGAACACCAGUGGCGAAGGCGACUCUCUGGUCUGUAACUGACGCUGAGGCGCGAAAGCGUGGGGAGCGAACAGGAUUAGAUACCCGCGUAGUC